GCUAGUGUAGCAGAGCCCAGCAAAUACAAACGACUUAAACCCUUUAUCCCAGAGGUUCAAAUCCUCUCUCUAGCU
rnacentral:tRNA from 1 species